rnacentral:lncRNA from 1 species
AAACAUAAAUGUAGUUUCUAAUAUUUAUUGUAUCUGACGCUAUUUAUUUGACGUCUGUUUGGCGUCUUCAGCCACGUGAUAAUUUGCGGCGUUCAUUGACGUCAACGUCAUACUUGUUUAUACUUCCGCCCAGACUUUGAAACGUUAACUGAACUGAACGUUAACUGUGGACAUUAAUUAUUCUGAUGAGACUUGAUGAGUAAGAGACCAAAUUCGAGAAUCGCUAUAUCUAGAGAAAUAAAAGAGUAAAGGCGCAUCUCUCGUUUAGUCACUGAGUUGAUCCAAGUCCCAGAACAAUUCUCGAAUCGUCGAAUAAUCGAAUGCUCGAAUCCAGCGGUUGAAGUAGAUCCACUGAAGAAACAGUGACGAUACCAUUGGAUACAAGAUGACAGACUCUGAAAAUAAAACCUUUCAAGGACUUAAGCGGUCAAGGUCAGCACAAUGUGCGCAACUGACGAAACUGUAUAAGGAGUUGGAGCAAUACAUGAUUUCUCAUGAUAAUGAUGAUCUUGUUGAAAACUUGUAUGUGAAACUGUGCGACAAAUUCAACGCUUUCAAGAACAUACAUUAAGAGUGCCUAGACUUAUGUGACGAACCCGCCGAUUGUGAAAAUCUAGAACAAUCCUAUGAGUGUUAUCAUAAUAAUUUCACAGAGUUUCAGGAAAGAUAUGAACAAUGGAAGUCAUCGAACCAGUAUAAUGAAAAUGACGAAAUUUGUAGCAAUGCGUCAUCAACGUGUAAAACGAAACUUGCGAGUUCCAAAGCUAAACGUUUGAUUGCUGAGCAAAAGUUAAAUUCUCUUAGAAAAAAACACGAGCUUGAACUGGCGCGCAAAGAAAUAGAAAUUAAACAGCAAGAACUUGAAUAUCAGUGUGAAUUAGAGCAAGCGCGUAUUGAAGAAUCGGUCUGGCACGAGGCAUUGGAGGAAGAAACUGGUGAGCACGUGCAAGAUUCGUCAUAUGUGAAGCAGACGACAGUAAAUGAUUUCACUUCCGGUCAUGAACAGUCUGAUAAGAACAUAAGAAGUGCACACGACGACUGUGUAAUUAUAAAUACACCUAACAACACUCAUUUGGUAACGGAGCAACGUAAGAAUGGA